CCUGUUGAAAUCGAGUCUCCAGAUCUUCACUACUAUCAUCUAGCCUUCUUCACAACGCGAGAAGUAGAUGCACUUGAAGAGCCGACUUGGGAUUAUGGCCUUGACUUUGAUGAUCUUGAUCAUCCUGUUAAGCAAUUCCAGUGCAGAUGCGGCAGUACGUUUUGCAGGGACAUGAAACGUUCAACUAGUAAGUAAUUGUCAUGUAA